rnacentral:rRNA from 1 species
GACGAACGCUGGCGGCGUGCCUAAUACAUGCAAGUCGAGCGAAUGGAAGGGAGCUUGCUCCCUGAAGUUAGCGGCGGACGGGUGAGUAACACGUGGGCAACCUGCCUGUAAGACUGGGAUAACUUCGGGAAACCGGAGCUAAUACCGGAUACGUUCUUUCCUCGCAUGAGGAAAGAUGGAAAGAUGGUUUCGGCUAUCACUUACAGAUGGGCCCGCGGCGCAUUAGCUAGUUGGUGGGGUAAUGGCCCACCAAGGCGACGAUGCGUAGCCGACCUGAGAGGGUGAUCGGCCACACUGGGACUGAGACACGGCCCAGACUCCUACGGGAGGCAGCAGUAGGGAAUCUUCCGCAAUGGACGAAAGUCUGACGGAGCAACGCCGCGUGAGCGAAGAAGGCCUUCGGGUCGUAAAGCUCUGUUGUCAGGGAAGAACAAGUGCCAGAGUAACUGCUGGCACCUUGACGGUACCUGACCAGAAAGCCACGGCUAACUACGUGCCAGCCGCCGCCGUAACAC